CCACUAGCUUUAAAGGACUGAUGCCAGCGUCCCACUACUUAUCAAAAAUUCUUCUAAUUUUCUAUAAGAUGUAUUCAAAUUGAGAUAAACAAGUAUAUUGUUAUAAAAGAUGAUCAGCUUUUUCCAGUACAGAUUCAGAUGCAAUAAUCACCUGUUGAUCAAGGUCAAGAGCCGAUGCGUAAAAGCUCCAAGAAUAACUCUCACGUUUUCUAUGCUGCAUAAAAGUGUUGUACAGGGCAAAAUCCUUAUAGUUUAAGAUCGGCAGGUAAGAAAAACCGGUCAUAAAAAGUGGUACGUUUAUCGAUAAUUUUCAAUAGUUAUAUCAAGUAUUUUUUUUUUGAUAUCCUGUAUCCGGAUAUCCUCGAAAAAGAUAACCGUACACCGGAGUUGAGCCGGGAGCUCGCCGAAAGCAUCCAGGAAGACCGCUUUUUCACUUCAUUUUAAUCAACAGUGGUCGGAACUCGAACCUAGGUAGCAAAACUCACAGCCGUGAACCUUUUAUCACCAGGUCACAAGCGCCCGAUUAUAUCAAUAGUAUUUGUAUAUAUAAGUGCAUUCUUAGCUUUCAUUUUGUUUAGUUUUCUGAUUACGAGACAUGUCUAUGUCAUCAAAAAUGUGAGUUCUUACUUAACUUUUCUGAAUACGAGACUCCGACUUUGGUAGGAGUUAAUGUGUUAUACAAAGAGUUUCUAGAAAAUCAAUUGGUUUUGUAAUUUGUUAGACGUAUAAGUUCGAACGCUAUUAAAAAAUUCUAAGCU
rnacentral:lncRNA from 1 species